GUAAGGGUUAAUGAGUUUGCUGUGGCAUAUUGCGUGGAUCUGAGAGCGUUCCGGCGGGCCACGCGUUCACACACUUUGGUGAGGCGGUGACACUCGUGAGUCAUUUGCGCUCCGCUCUCAGGAGUGACGGCUUAUGCCCGCUCAUGGACCACUGCAUGAACACCACAGGAUCUGUCCACGAUACACCUGACCACCGACACAUCUCCGGCCGCAUGCUCCCUGUCCAUCAUCACCACAAACGAGCGUCUGUUUGCGCCUCUCUCCGCAUAACGCAUUACUCUUAGUUAUUUGCCAUGCCAAGCUGGAGGAGAAACCUGACUUUUUGCCUGCAGAGAAUGCAUGACGAAGGGUUUUGUAUGCAGUUUCAGUCAGUGCUACCUUCUUCCAUUUUGCUAACAUUUCAAGAUGCCAAUUUCAGUAAUAUCCAUCAGAACAAAAAUAACUGGCAACAUAGAGUCUAAAGUAAACUCGCUGUGCUCAUCUUGCUAUCUCAACCCAAGCUCUACAGCGC